rnacentral:rRNA from 1 species
AACCUUCCCUGUGGUACGGAAUAGCUCCGGGAAACUGGAAUUAAUACCGUAUACGCCCUUCCGGGGGAAAGAUUUAUCGCCAUAGGAUGGGCCCGCGUCGGAUUAGCUAGUUGGUAAGGUAACGGCUUACCAAGGCAACGAUCCGUAGCUGGUCUUAGAGGAUGAUCAGCCACACUGGGACUGAGACUCGGCCCAGACUCCUACGGGAGGCAGCAGUGGGGAGUAUUGGACAAUGGGCGAAAGCCUGAUCCAGCCAUGCCGCGUGAGUGACGAAGGCCUUAGGGUUGUAAAACUCUUUUGGUAGGGACGAUAAUGACGGUACCUACAGAAUAAGCCCCGGCUAACUUCGUGCCAGCAGCCGCGGUAAUACGAAGGGGGCUAGCGUUGUUCGGAAUCACUGGGCGUAAAGCGCACGUAGGCGGACUGGUCAGUUGGGGGUGAAAUCCCAGGGCUCAACCCUGGAACUGCCUCCAAUACUGCCAGUCUUGAGUCCGAGAGAGGUGAGUGGAAUUCCUAGUGUAGAGGUGAAAUUCGUAGAUAUUAGGAAGAACACCAGUGGCGAAGGCGGCUCACUGGCUCGGUACUGACGCUGAGGUGCGAAAGCGUGGGGGGCAAACAGGAUUAGAUACCCUGGUAGUCCACGCCGUAAACGAUGAGUGCUAGCCGUCGGGUAGCUUGCUAUUCGGUGGCGCAGCUAACGCAUUAAGCACUCCGCCUGGGGAGUACGGCCGCAAGGUUAAAACUCAAAGGAAUUNNUU